CUACGGGGCGCUGCAGUAGGGAAUAUUGCGCAAUGGACGAAAGUCUGACGCAGCCACGCCGCGUGGAUGAUGAAGCUUUUUGGAGUGUAAAAUCCUGUCAGUGGGGACGAACCGGCUGAGGAGUAACUGCCUCAGCUCUGACGGUACCCGCAGAGGAAGUUCCGGCUAACUCCGUGCCAGCAGCCGCGGUAAUACGGGGGGAACGAGCGUUGUUCGGAUUUACUGGGCGUAAAGGGCGUGUAGGCGGAUCUGCCAGUCAGAUGUGAAACCCGGCGGCUUAACCACCGGCCUGCAUCUGAUACUGCAGAUCUUGAGUACGGGAGAGGAAAGCGGAAUUCCAGGUGUAGCGGUGACAUGCGUAGAUAUCUGGAAGAACACCGGUGGCGAAGGCGGCUUUCUGGACCGAUACUGACGCUGAGGCGCGAAAGCCAGGGGAGCAAACAGGAUUAGAUACCCUUGUAGUC
rnacentral:rRNA from 1 species